GAAUCAUGUGAGACAAGGGUGGUGGCCGCUCUGGAGGUGCCUGGGGGGUUCCCUCAUUACCCCUCUGGGCUUAGUCCAUCCUCCACACUGUUGUGCAGCUUCUCCACCUCCUGGUAGAGGAUAAAUACUGUUACCCUUAUCCCUGGUCACAUCCAGGGAGACGCGUCCAGCGGCCAGGCGGGGACAGUGCCGUUCUAGAGGUCCUUGAGCCCCUCCUUCCUCAGGAUCUGCAGCCAUAGGCCGGUGUGUUCCGCGUUUGUGCUGCUCCAGGCCCCGCAUCCGGUCUCGAUCCCAUCCAGAGGAGCGUUUCCCAAGACACUGGCUGCGCCCACAAUGGCUCCGAAGACCCCAGCGACCAGCGGGUCCAUGGGCUUGCUGGGGUUGUCCCCUCGGUACCAGCUGUGCAGGGAGGUCAGGAGGAGAAGCAGACGGCCUGGUUCCAGCCCUGCUUUAGCGUGGGUGCCAUGAGGCCCCGGUGAGUCCCCUUGUUCUCGCACAAUCUCUCUAACCUGGUGGGAGACUCCUCUGCACUGGAGGUCUGGGAAGGUCUGGCCGUGGAUGAACUUCACCUUGAUGGUGUCCAUGGAACAUACGACCACCAUGGCCUCGGCCACGCCAGCGCCCUGGCCGCACCGCAGCCAGCGCUGCCGUCAGGCCGUCCCUGGGCAUCCCGCGUCUGGCUGCUGUGGAACUGGAACAUUCAGAACCCAACGCCGCCCUGGAGACAAGAGCCGCAGAGCAGGGAGCCGAGGCCGCGGUGCCGGCCCGGGACGCCAUGACCGCGACAGUGCGCACGCGGGAUCCAUGCGCGGUGCCCGGCUGGUGCCAGCGCUCGUCCGGCUGCAGCUACGACCUCCCGCGCUCCGUGGGGAGCGGACGCCCAUUUCAAUGCCGCCGGCCAGGCCGCCUGCUGGUGUCGCCUUCCCCGGAGCCUCCGCUGGGCCUUCCCGGACGCGGCGCGGCGUGGCCACGGCGGGCGGGAGGCGGGCGCCCGCUGUGAUCUGAAGUCCCAGCCUCCUAAACUCCGCACUGGGACCUUAAUUUGGUUUUAACACAAAUGAAGAUCUCACUAAAGAUAAAAAGGGAUGUCUUGGCUUCUAAUUUUUGUUAAAAGCAAUAGCAUAUGUUGUAUAGGAUAGUGCAUUGGGACGUUUAAAGUAUUGCUGUGUGUUUCAAGUGGAGGAGGUCAUAUUACAACUGACAUUUGUCCUUGACUACUGGACAUAUCACACCAGCCCUGAUUGCAGUUAUACUUGAAGCCAGAUCUACCCUUAACGUAUAUUCAUUUUACUAUUCAAUAAAUAUUAACUUAUCAUGAAUGGU
rnacentral:lncRNA from 1 species